UACGUAGGGUGCGAGCGUUGUCCGGAAUUAUUGGGCGUAAAGGGCUCGUAGGCGGUUUGUCGCGUCGGGAGUGAAAACCCAGGGCUUAACCCUGGGCUGGCUUCCGAUACGGGCAGACUAGAGGUAUGCAGGGGAGAACGGAAUUCCUGGUGUAGCGGUGAAAUGCGCAGAUAUCAGGAGGAACACCGGUGGCGAAGGCGGGUCUCUGGGCAACUACUGACGCUGAGGAGCGAAAGCGUGGGGAGCGAACAGG
rnacentral:rRNA from 1 species